CGCCGCGCGCCUCCCGGAAGUCGCCUCGCGCGGUGCCUUCUGGGAAGCGCUGCGGGCGCAGCCCGAGGCAUGCCGGGAGCCGUAUCCCUCACGCCGGUGCAGGGCAGCCCUCGGCCUGUUCUGGGGAGCCUUGGGGAGCGCGAAGUUCUGGCCCUGUUACUGUGGCCGGCCCGCGGUUGAGACACUCGUAGUCACCUCUGGAGGGCCGCGGGGGAGCCGGCGCCUCUCCGGUUACUGUGAAGACCUGAAGUAAUACAUAAAGAGCACUGGAGACACCUGGAGGGAAGGCCGCACGUAGAG
rnacentral:lncRNA from 1 species